rnacentral:rRNA from 1 species
GACGAACGCUGGCGGCGUGCCUAAUACAUGCAAGUAGGACGCAGUUGCGAACGGGUGAGUAACGCGAAGGUAACUGCCUGGUAGCGGGGGCUAACUAUUGGAAACGAUAGCUAAUACCGCAUACUACCAGAUGGACCUGCGUUGUAUUAGCUAGUAGGUGAGGUAACGGCUCACCAAGGCAACGAUACAUAGCCGACCUGAGACGGUGAUCGGCAACACAGGGACUGAGACACGGCCCAGACGCCUACGGGAGGCAGCAGUAGGGAAUCUUCGGCAAUGGGGGGAACCCUGACCGAGCAACGCCGCGUUAGUGAAGAAGGUUUUCGGAUCGUAAAGCUCUGUUGUUAAGGAAGCGGUACUUAACCAGAAAGGGACGGCUAACUACGGGCCAGCCGCCGCGGUAAUUC